rnacentral:rRNA from 1 species
UACAGAGGGGGGCAAGCGUUGUUCGGAAUUACUGGGCGUAAAGGGCGCGUAGACGGUUAUUUAAGUCAGGUGUGAAAGCCCCGGGCUCAACCUGGGAAUUGCAUUUGAGACUGAAUAGCUAGGGUGCGGAAGAGGGAAGCGGAAUUUCCGGUGUAGCGGUGAAAUGCGUAGAUAUCGGAAGGAACACCAGUGGCGAAAGCGGCUUCCUGGUCCAGCACCGACGUUCAGGCACGAAAGCGUGGGGAGCAAACAGG